rnacentral:rRNA from 1 species
AGCAGCCGCGGUAAUUCCAGCUCCAAUAGCGUAUAUUAAAGUUGUUGCAGUUAAAAAGCUCGUAGUUGAAUUUCAGGCCUGGCUGGACGGUCCGCCCUUCGGGUGAGUACUGUCUGUGGUAGGGUCCUACCUUCUGGCGAAGCGUCAUGGCUUUAACCGGCCGUGGCGGGGAACCAGGACUUUUACUGUGAAAAAAUUAGAGUGUUCAAAGCAGGCAAUCGCUUGGAUACAUUAGCAUGGAAUAAUGGAAUAGGACAAUGGUUCUAUUUGUUGGUUUCUAGGACCGUUGUAAUGAUUAAUAGGGAUAGUUGGGGGCAUUAGUAUUCAAUUGUCAGAGGUGAAAUUCUUGGAUUUAUUGAAGACUAACUACUGCGAAAGCAUUUGCCAAGGAUGUUUUCAUUAAUCAAGAACGAAAGUUAGGGGAUCGAAGACGAUCAGAUACCGUCGUAGUCUUAACCAUAAACUAUGCCGACUAGGAAUCGGGCGAUGUUGAAAAAAUGACGC